GACGGGGGAUGCAAGUGUUAUCCGGAAUAAUUGGGCGUAAGCGUCUGUAGGUGGUUUACCAAGUCUGUUGUUAAAAAUCAGGGCUUAACCCUGAUCCGGCAACAGAAACUAGUAGGCUGGAGUACGGUAGGGGCAGAGGGAAUUCUCGGUGUAGUGGUGAAAUACGUAGAUAUCGAGAAGAACACCAAUAGCGAAAGCACUCUGCUGGGCCGAAACUGACAUUGAGAGACGAAAGCUAGGGGAGCGAAAGGG
rnacentral:rRNA from 1 species